GAUGAACGCUGGCGGCGUGCCUAAUACAUGCAAGUCGAGCGAACAGACGAGGAGCUUGCUCCUCUGACGUUAGCGGCGGGCGGGUGAGUAACACGUGGAUAACCUACCUAUAAGACUGGGAUAACUUCGGGAAACCGGAGCUAAUACCGGAUAAUAUAUUGAACCGCAGGGUUCCAUAGUGAAAGACGGUUUUGCUGUCACUUAUAGAUGGAUCCGCGCCGCAUUAGCUAGUUGGUAAGGUAACGGCGUACCAAGGCAACGAUGCGUAGCCGACCUGAGAGGGUGAUCGGCCACACUGGAACUGAGACACGGUCCAGACUCCUACGGGAGGCAGCAGUAGGGAAUCUUCCGCAAUGGGCGAAAGCCUGACGGAGCAACGCCGCGUGAGUGAUGAAGGUCUUCGGAUCGUAAAACUCUGUUAUUAGGGAAGAACAACUGUGUACGUAACUAUGCACGUCUUGACGGUACCUAAUCAGAAAGCCACGGCUAACUACGUG
rnacentral:rRNA from 1 species